rnacentral:tRNA from 1 species
AGUAGCUCAGAGGUUAGAGCAUCUGAUCUAGAACACGAAGGGUCAUGGGUUCGAAUCCCAUCUGG